rnacentral:rRNA from 1 species
UACGUAGGGUGCGAGCGUUGUCCGGAAUUACUGGGCGUAAAGGGCGCGUAGGCGGCACUGUUAGUCAGGCGUGAAAGUCCUGGGCUCAACCUGGGAACUGCGCUUGAUACGGCAGAGCUAGAGGAUGGAAGAGGCUCGCGGAAUUCCCAGUGUAGAGGUGAAAUUCGUAGAUAUUGGGAAGAACACCGGUGGCGAAGGCGGCGAGCUGGUCCAUUACUGACGCUGAGGCGCGACAGCGUGGGGAGCAACAGG